CUUGUCAUAUUUAGGGGUGAAAGUAGUUCAGUUCGAUUUUUUCGGUUUUUGGUUUGGAUUCGGUUCCAAAAAACUGAAACCAAAAUAUUUUGGUUUGGGGUCCCAAAAAACCAAAAACCGAAAUCCAAAUUGAAAUGUUUAAGCCCAUAGAUUUCCAGCCCAAUUCCCCUACAUAUAAAUAGCAAAACCCUAAUAUUCCUCUUCAUUUAAUCUAACUUGCGCCCAUUCCGCCCAACCUCUCUACCUUCAUUCCUUAGUUCCUCACCAAAACCCGUAUUCUCCCUCAUCACCUCACUCCGGCCACCGUACCUCGUAUCUCACCACCUCCUUCCUUCAGUUUUGGUGUUUCGUGUUCGUAUCUCACCACCACCCUCCUUCAAUUCCGGUACUCCCUCAGAUCCGGUGUUCGUACUCCCUGAAAUCCGCGACGCGCCACCACCUACUGUCGCCACCACCUCUCUUGGUCACUUAAUGAUUGUUGAGGAGCUUGGAGUACUUGCUGUUUUGGUAGGCGUAAUAAUUGUUGCCAUGUUGCUUGAAGGCUUGAAGACUUGAAGUUGAUUUUAAUAUUUUAAUGGUUGGACAAUUUUUAUGUAUUAUCUUAUUAUGGACCGUUGUUAUGCUAUAAUUCAAAAGCUUUUUCUUUUAAAUUUCUAGGUAAUUUAGCUGCUGUAGGGUUGUAAUUCAUGACAAUUUUAAAGCCUUUUCUUUUUAAUUCUAGGUAAUUUAGGCCACAAGGCUAACACAAUAAGUCAAA